UACGGAGGGUGCGAGCGUUGUUCGGAAUUACUGGGCGUAAAGGGCUCGUAGGCGGCCAACUAAGUCGGACGUGAAAUCCCCAGGCUCAACCUGGGAACUGCGUCCGAUACUGGAUGGCUUGAAUUCGGGAGAGGGAUGCGGAAUUCCAGGUGUAGCGGUGAAAUGCGUAGAGAUCAGGAAGAACACCAGUGGCGAAGGCGCUCUGCUAGGCCGUAACUGACACUGAGGGACGAAAGCUAGGGGAGCGAAUGGG
rnacentral:rRNA from 1 species